rnacentral:lncRNA from 1 species
CACGUUGAGGUACUUUUGGUCACCUUCAAAUUCGUAAAUGGUUGUGCUGUCGAAUCAUUUUGCUUCGAGCACCACUGAUGAUUAUUUUGAAGUCUGAAUGAAAAUUAUACAUCUGUUAUCAUGGUAGGUUUUUGUAACUCUCAUGGCAUAAUUUAAGAGGUUACUAGUAUUCAUACACUUUUGAAAUAAGUUAUUGAGUAUCAUACACUAAUGGCAUAUGAAUGGUGGAGUUUUUAAUUCUUUUGGCACAUAUUAACAAGAUGCACAUUAUUUACAUUAGAAACUUGGCUCAUAUAAGCAAGACACAUACUAAUGUAAGCUAUAGAUGGCCACAGCAUAACAUAAAAUAAAACAAAUCAAACAAGUUAAACGUUUCAACUUAUAUAAUACAUUAAACGAGACACGAAUAUGGCAGAUAGCAACUAAGGACCGAUUGAAAGAUUGCACAUGUGGCAAAUAGGUAGAAAUUAAAUAUCUCUGGAUAUAUGGCUCUAAUGUUACCAGAAUUCUUAUGGCACAACUUUAAAAUAUAUUUCUUGCAUUAAUACAACUUUAAAAAAUAUUUCUUGCAUUAAUAGAACAAAGCUUGAUAGGUGAAAACUAUAAUUAUAUGGAAUGUGGGAAGAGAGGUUAUCACAAUUAUGAUUGAACAUGGCCUGAAAUAAAAUAUAAACUACAGCCUCUUUUGAAUUUUUUUAUACAUAGCACUAGCAAAAUGAAAUAAAAGUUGAAUAAACACAUGUAAAAUUGAGAAUGGAAAUGGGGAAUGUGCCAAAGAGACAACAACCUGAC